UCAGACAUGGUGUAGCGGGAACACGGCUUCUUAUUAGCCAGAGUUCUGUGAUCAGAGGUAAUUCAGGGUUCGAAUCCCUGUGUCUGAA